GACGAGCGCUGGCGGCGCGCCUAACACAUGCAAGUCGAACGAGCGAGAGAGGGCUUGCUUUCUUGAGCGAGUGGCGAACGGGUGAGUAACGCGUGAGGAACCUGCCUCAAAGAGGGGGACAACAGUUGGAAACGACUGCUAAUACCGCAUAAGCCCACGACCCGGCAUCGGGUUGAGGGAAAAGGAGCAAUCCGCUUUGAGAUGGCCUCGCGUCCGAUUAGCUAGUUGGUGAGGUAACGGCCCACCAAGGCGACGAUCGGUAGCCGGACUGAGAGGUUGAACGGCCACAUUGGGACUGAGACACGGCCCAGACUCCUACGGGAGGCAGCAGUGGGGAAUAUUGCACAAUGGGGGAAACCCUGAUGCAGCGACGCCGCGUGGAGGAAGAAGGUCUUCGGAUUGUAAACUCCUGUUGUUGAGGAAGAUAAUGACGGUACUCAACAAGGAAGUGACGGCUAACUACGUG
rnacentral:rRNA from 1 species